UUGCUUCCACAACACACAUACUAAAAUUGCAACAAUGCAGAGAAGAUUAGCAUUGCCCCUGUGUGAGGAUGGCACACAAAUACAAUAGCAUGAAAAGAAUAAA